rnacentral:rRNA from 1 species
GAGUUUGAUCCUGGCUCAGAUUGAACGCUGGCGGCAUGCUUUACACAUGCAAGUCGAACGGCAGCGGGGGCUUCGGCCUGCCGGCGAGUGGCGAACGGGUGAGUAACGCAUCGGAACGUGCCCAUGUCGUGGGGGAUAACGUAGCGAAAGCUACGCUAAUACCGCAUACGCCCUGAGGGGGAAAGCGGGGGAUUCUUCGGAACCUCGCGCGAUUGGAGCGGCCGAUGUCGGAUUAGCUAGUAGGUGAGGUAAAGGCUCACCUAGGCGACGAUCCGUAGCGGGUCUGAGAGGAUGAUCCGCCACACUGGGACUGAGACACGGCCCAGACUCCUACGGGAGGCAGCAGUGGGGAAUUUUGGACAAUGGGCGCAAGCCUGAUCCAGCCAUGCCGCGUGAGUGAAGAAGGCCUUCGGGUUGUAAAGCUCUUUCGGCCGGGAAGAAAUCGUGUUCUCUAACAUAGGACGUGGAUGACGGUACCGGACUAAGAAGCACCGGCUAACUACGUGCCAGCAGCCGCGGUAAUACGUANGGUGCGAGCGUUAAUCGGAAUUACUGGGCGUAAAGCGUGCGCAGGCGGUUUUUGUAGACAGAUGUGAAAUCCCCGGGCUUACCUGGGA